GUGGUCUUCGGACCGCGAGUAGAGUGGCGCACGGGUGAGUAACGCGUACGUAAUCUAUCUUUAUGUUCGGGAUACCCAGCCGAAAGGCUGGCUAAUACCGGAUACGCUCGCGGAACCGGGAGGUUUUGCGAGGAAAGGUGCCCUCUCCUUGGAAGGUGCCGCGGAAAGACGAGCCUGCGUACCAUUAGCUAGUUGGUGGGGUAAUGGCCUACCAAGGCUACGAUGGUUAGCGGGUCUGAGAGGAUGAUCCGCCACACUGGAACUGGAACACGGACCAGACUCCUACGGGAGGCAGCAGUGAGGAAUAUUGCGCAAUGGGGGAAACCCUGACGCAGCGACGCCACGUGGGUGAAGAAGGCUUUCGGGUCGUAAAACCUUGUCAGAGGGGAAGAAAUGCCAGUCGGUUAAUACCCGGUUGGUUUGACGGUACCCUCAAAGGAAGCACCGGCUAACUCCGUGCCAGCAGCCG
rnacentral:rRNA from 1 species